CCCUAACGUCUUGUUACUAUCAGUGGAUGCAAAGAACUGUGCAUUACUUAUGCUGCUAGAUCUUAGCGCCGCCUUUGACACUGUAGAUCACUGCAUUCUUUUAGAGCGCCUUGAGCACUGGGUUGGAAUUUCAGGUACUGCACUGAAAUGGUUUGCCUCCUUCUUAGAGGGAAGAACCUUUUCAGUUUCUUUCAAUGAUACUUCAUCUUCAUCUGCCCCCUUAUCUUAUGGUGUUCCACAGGGAUCAGUGCUUAGUUGUAUUUUAUUCUCACUGUACAUG